UUUUCAACGCUGUCUGAAAGAGCGAUCCAUGCCACAAGAUGCUUGCCUCAUUGAAAGUGCAGGACUUUUACAGGAGACUUGUUGCUGAUCAGUCAUCUUUUCACAGUUAUUGUGUGACCUUGGAGCACAGGGACUCUGGUCUGACAGGUACCUUUUGCUUGGCUGAUGAUGGCUGAGGACGUUUGAUAAACCCAUGAAAACUACAGAUGUUUUAGUGGAUCAUGGAUGCUGUAUAACGGCAACUCUGACUGGUACAGCGAUGAAGUAAGAUUCUGGACUAAGCACAGAGAUGCCGCUGGUGUUUGAUCCUGGGACUCUGGCUCCUUGAGUCGGGGGCGCUGUCUGUCCUGUGUACUUAGGAGCUGGUGAAACUGCACAGCGGCACGACCGUGGGCGGUCUGAUCAGUGAUGCCGGGAGCAUGCUGAGGCCUUUUACCUGGUCCAGUUUGGGAGUUUCAGCAAGUAACCUUGGUCUGGCAGUGACGGUACCAUCCAUUCAAGGUUUUUCCAGUGACGGAUGAAUUGGGCGAGUGAUCAUCAGUUUGGCAGCUGUUAAGGUCGCUUGAACGUCCAGAGUCCCAAUGCAGUUUGAGAGGAGCUUGUCUGCACACAAUAUUUGAUGUGUAAAAAAAAUGUAAAUAAAAAUUGAG